ACAACACUCUCUCUCUCUCUCUCUCUCUCUCUCUCUCUCUCUCUCUCUCACUCUAAUCUGCUCUCUCUCCCUCUCUUGGUGGCUUAGAGGGUUUUUGGAAAAUUUGAAGGAAAAGCUCAGAAUUUGGGGCUAGGAGUUGAGGAUUUGAAGCUGGAGGUGUUGGGGAUUUAGCUCUGGGUCCGAUUUGAGGAAUAUAUACAACAGAACCGUCAUGGAUACCAUUUCACUAUAAGAGUUGCGCCUUCUACCCUUGUUGGCUUUGUGACUUUGUUAAUUCAACAGAACCAUCAUAUUUCUUCACACCUUCACUCCAUGCUAUGGAGUUGGAUUCCGUUCUUGUUUUGAAUUUAAUUCAAAUGGAUUCUUCCUUUGCAGGCAAAAGGGGGUGGGAAGGAAUCUUGUGGAUUUUUUAUUUCUUUUUAAUUUAGAAAGAGCUCAAGCUAUACUACAAGACUUCUGAAGCUACUUUGUAUUGUUAUCUAAGAAUUUAUCUUGUAAUAUGAAUUUGCAAGGCUAGAAUAGCUAGAUUAGCCUGAAUAUUUAUACUUUUAUUCAAGUUAAUAAAAUUCAUUUAUAUUA